rnacentral:lncRNA from 1 species
UUGAGAAACAGUAGACAGCUACAAAAUUUUGUCUCAGGGCAAAAUUUUCCUAAUUUUUUUUUUUUUGGUCACAUACACUUUCUUUUAAGCUAAGCUUCUCAAGAUUUCACCAAAUUACUUUGCCUCUAAGAGCCUGGAAAAGUUGAGACCUUUCUUUCACAAAAGUAUUCAUCUUAGAAGUUCACAAAC